CCGUACAAUUCUGGAAUUAUGAGACAAAAUGGAAAGGAUUGACAUAGGAUAAGGUUAUCAACAAAAAGUUGACCAAUGUACACAGUUCGUACUGUCAUGUCUAUGGUUAACUAAUUAUUGGGCAUUCAUUUUAGCUCAGUGUUCAGAAAUGUGACUCUAGGAUCCUUCGGGAGAUUGAGUAUAAAGUACAAGUUUCACUUGAGCUAGCAUUAGUUUCUUUGGUUAGUUUUGCUUUUACUCUCUUUGCUACCUGGGCUGAAUUCAAGUAAUGGAAGAGUGUUUUGUGCGUUGCAUUACUUUAAAAUUGGUUUUAUGUAUUCUUGUUAUUAUGUUUAUUGUGUUCCUUUGACAGUUUUAUGCUUGCAGUUCUGUAUUUGUCAUUGGGAGCAAAGAGGUGAUGAAUCGCAAAGAAGCACGUUUCGAGUAUGGAAAAUUUGCAGAUGAAGAAUAGGGGAUAUUUGAACAAGAUGGUUUGCCUUGUACAUCAUUACAUUUUCUUAAAGUGAGAUGCAUUUGUGUAUUUUAUGAAAACCAUGUAAUUACUUUGACUAUUUUGUGUGAUUUUGGGUGGAAACUAUUUCCAAAUCUGAUGUAAUGAAUCAUUGUGCA